GGGUUGUGAGGUUAAGCGACUAAGCGUACACGGUGGAUGCCCUGGCAGUCAGAGGCGAUGAAGGACGUGCUAAUCUGCGAUAAGCGUCGGUAAGGUGAUAUGAACCGUUAUAACCGGCGAUUUCCGAAUGGGGAAACCCAGUGUGUUUCGACACACUAUCAUUAACUGAAUCCAUAGGUUAAUGAGGCGAACCGGGGGAACUGAAACAUCUAAGUACCCCGAGGAAAAGAAAUCAACCGAGAUUCCCCCAGUAGCGGCGAGCGAACGGGGAGCAGCCCAGAGCCUGAAUCAGUGUGUGUGUUAGUGGAAGCGUCUGGAAAGGCGCGCGAUACAGGGUGACAGCCCCGUACACAAAAAUGCACAUAUUGUGAGCUCGAUGAGUAGGGCGGGACACGUGGUAUCCUGUCUGAAUAUGGGGGGACCAUCCUCCAAGGCUAAAUACUCCUGACUGACCGAUAGUGAACCAGUACCGUGAGGGAAAGGCGAAAAGAACCCCGGCGAGGGGAGUGAAAAAGAACCUGAAACCGUGUACGUACAAGCAGUGGGAGCCUCUUUUAUGGGGUGACUGCGUACCUUUUGUAUAAUGGGUCAGCGACUUAUAUUCUGUAGCAAGGUUAACCGAAUAGGGGAGCCGAAGGGAAACCGAGUCUUAACUGGGCGUUAAGUUGCAGGGUAUAGACCCGAAACCCGGUGAUCUAGCCAUGGGCAGGUUGAAGGUUGGGUAACACUAACUGGAGGACCGAACCGACUAAUGUUGAAAAAUUAGCGGAUGACUUGUGGCUGGGGGUGAAAGGCCAAUCAAACCGGGAGAUAGCUGGUUCUCCCCGAAAGCUAUUUAGGUAGCGCCUCGUGAAUUCAUCUCCGGGGGUAGAGCACUGUUUCGGCAAGGGGGUCAUCCCGACUUACCAACCCGAUGCAAACUGCGAAUACCGGAGAAUGUUAUCACGGGAGACACACGGCGGGUGCUAACGUCCGUCGUGAAGAGGGAAACAACCCAGACCGCCAGCUAAGGUCCCAAAGUCAUGGUUAAGUGGGAAACGAUGUGGGAAGGCCCAGACAGCCAGGAUGUUGGCUUAGAAGCAGCCAUCAUUUAAAGAAAGCGUAAUAGCUCACUGGUCGAGUCGGCCUGCGCGGAAGAUGUAACGGGGCUAAACCAUGCACCGAAGCUGCGGCAGCGACACUAUGUGUUGUUGGGUAGGGGAGCGUUCUGUAAGCCUGUGAAGGUGUGCUGUGAGGUAUGCUGGAGGUAUCAGAAGUGCGAAUGCUGACAUAAGUAACGAUAAAGCGGGUGAAAAGCCCGCUCGCCGGAAGACCAAGGGUUCCUGUCCAACGUUAAUCGGGGCAGGGUGAGUCGACCCCUAAGGCGAGGCCGAAAGGCGUAGUCGAUGGGAAACAGGUUAAUAUUCCUGUACUUGGUGUUACUGCGAAGGGGGGACGGAGAAGGCUAUGUUGGCCGGGCGACGGUUGUCCCGGUUUAAGCGUGUAGGCUGGUUUUCCAGGCAAAUCCGGAAAAUCAAGGCUGAGGCGUGAUGACGAGGCACUACGGUGCUGAAGCAACAAAUGCCCUGCUUCCAGGAAAAGCCUCUAAGCAUCAGGUAACAUCAAAUCGUACCCCAAACCGACACAGGUGGUCAGGUAGAGAAUACCAAGGCGCUUGAGAGAACUCGGGUGAAGGAACUAGGCAAAAUGGUGCCGUAACUUCGGGAGAAGGCACGCUGAUAUGUAGGUGAAGCGACUUGCUCGUGGAGCUGAAAUCAGUCGAAGAUACCAGCUGGCUGCAACUGUUUAUUAAAAACACAGCACUGUGCAAACACGAAAGUGGACGUAUACGGUGUGACGCCUGCCCGGUGCCGGAAGGUUAAUUGAUGGGGUCAGCGCAAGCGAAGCUCUUGAUCGAAGCCCCGGUAAACGGCGGCCGUAACUAUAACGGUCCUAAGGUAGCGAAAUUCCUUGUCGGGUAAGUUCCGACCUGCACGAAUGGCGUAAUGAUGGCCAGGCUGUCUCCACCCGAGACUCAGUGAAAUUGAACUCGCUGUGAAGAUGCAGUGUACCCGCGGCAAGACGGAAAGACCCCGUGAACCUUUACUAUAGCUUGACACUGAACAUUGAGCCUUGAUGUGUAGGAUAGGUGGGAGGCUUUGAAGUGUGGACGCCAGUCUGCAUGGAGCCGACCUUGAAAUACCACCCUUUAAUGUUUGAUGUUCUAACGUUGACCCGUGAUCCGGGUUGCGGACAGUGUCUGGUGGGUAGUUUGACUGGGGCGGUCUCCUCCUAAAGAGUAACGGAGGAGCACGAAGGUUGGCUAAUCCUGGUCGGACAUCAGGAGGUUAGUGCAAUGGCAUAAGCCAGCUUGACUGCGAGCGUGACGGCGCGAGCAGGUGCGAAAGCAGGUCAUAGUGAUCCGGUGGUUCUGAAUGGAAGGGCCAUCGCUCAACGGAUAAAAGGUACUCCGGGGAUAACAGGCUGAUACCGCCCAAGAGUUCAUAUCGACGGCGGUGUUUGGCACCUCGAUGUCGGCUCAUCACAUCCUGGGGCUGAAGUAGGUCCCAAGGGUAUGGCUGUUCGCCAUUUAAAGUGGUACGCGAGCUGGGUUUAGAACGUCGUGAGACAGUUCGGUCCCUAUCUGCCGUGGGCGCUGGAGAACUGAGGGGGGCUGCUCCUAGUACGAGAGGACCGGAGUGGACGCAUCACUGGUGUUCGGGUUGUCAUGCCAAUGGCACUGCCCGGUAGCUAAAUGCGGAAGAGAUAAGUGCUGAAAGCAUCUAAGCACGAAACUUGCCCCGAGAUGAGUUCUCCCUGACCCUUUAAGGGUCCUGAAGGAACGUUGAAGACGACGACGUUGAUAGGCCGGGUGUGUAAGCGCAGCGAUGCGUUGAGCUAACCGGUACUAAUGAACCGUGAGGCUUAACCUUACAACGCCGAAG
rnacentral:rRNA from 1 species